rnacentral:lncRNA from 1 species
UUUUUUGUUUAUUAUAUUAGGUAUUUCUGUUAUUCUAACCAAUCAUUAUUCUAUAUAUAAGGAACUCAUAAAGAAAUUCAAGCAAAGCAUUCAAUCAUUAUUACCCAAAGAAGUAAGGAACAGAAAUGGAAGUGAAGUUUGCAGAAGAAUGUGCAUGGCCAAGGAGAUCAACAGAAUCAAACAUUUCCAGAAUAAGGAGCCAAAAGGGCAACGUUAUGAGCUAUAUUUUGGAUGCAAUUGCAAAAGUAAAUAAGAAAGAAUUUUCAAGUCAAGAAAAAGAAGAGGUGGUGAGGAUGAAAAUUUUGGUGAAAAAAGAAGAUUUAAAGCAAGUUCUUGAAGCAUUAAGAGAUGGUAAUAUUAAUGAAAGUAGAAGCCAAAUUUCUCCUUCUCAGGUUGCUGUUUUGUCUUUGGAACAACGCUUGAAUUUCAUGAGAAAAAGACAAAAAAUUAGAAAAAUCAG